CGAAAGCCUGACGGAGCAAGACCGCGUGAGGGAGGAAGGCUCUUGGGUUGUAAACCUCUUUUCUCAGGGAAGAAGCUCUGACGGUACCUGAGGAAUCAGCCUCGGCUAACUCCGUGCCAGCAGCCGCGGUAAGACGGAGGAUGCAAGCGUUAUCCGGAAUUAUUGGGCGUAAAGCGUCCGCAGGGGGCGCAUCAAGUCUGCUGUUAAAGGCUGGAGCUCAACUCCGGUAGAGCAGUGGAAACUGGUGCGCUAGAGGGCGACAGGGGUAGAGGGAAUUCCCAGUGUAGCGGUGAAAUGCGUAGAUAUCGGGAAGAACACCAGAGGCGAAAGCGUUCUGCUGGGCCGCACCUGACCCUGAGGGACGAAAGCCAGGGGAGCG
rnacentral:rRNA from 1 species